AAUGAUAGCCAUGCUGCCCUGAAUGCUCUCAGCCUCAUGUGAUCUCAGAUGCUAAAUUAGAUUGGGCCUAAUUAGUACUUGGAUGGAAGACCGGCUGAGAAUCUGAAGAGUUAUAUUC
rnacentral:rRNA from 1 species